rnacentral:rRNA from 1 species
AUUAUAAUUAAUUAUAAAAUUUUUAUAUUUAUUAAAAUUAUAAUAAAAUUAUAUUGUUUUAGUAUUUAUUAUAAAAAAAUUUAUUAAAUUAUAGUUUAAAGUAAUGUAAAUGAAAUUUAUAUAAAUAAUUAAAAGUAAAAAUUAAUUUUUUACCUUUUGUAUCAGGAUUAAUUAAUUUUAUAUAAUAAUAUUUAUUCAUCUCGAAAAUAAAAGAGCUAAAAAUAAAUUAUUUUUAUUAUAGCAAUAAUAUUAUAAAUUUAUUUUUAGAAAUUAAAUGUUAUUCGAAUUUAUUAAUAUCUAGUUUUUUAUGAAAUAAAUUUAAUUUAUAUAUAAAUUUAUUUAUUUAUAUAAUAACUAAUAUAAAUAAAUAAUUUAUAUAAAAAAUUUAUGGGAUAAACUAUAAAUUUAAAUUUAUUAUUUAUAUAUUAAAAUAUAAAUAUAUUAUAUUCAUAAAAUUUGAAAUUAAUUUAAAAUAUUUAAUAAUUUAAUAAAAUAAAUAAAAAUUUUAAAAUAAAUAUAAAUUUUUAAUAAAAAAAUUUUUUUAAUAUUUAUAAAAAUGAUAUAANNNNNNNNNNNNNNNNNNNNNNNNNNNNNNNNNNNNNNNNNNNNNNUAUAUAUAUAUAUAUAUAUAUAUAUAUAUAUAAGGAAUUCGGCAAAAUAAAUAUAUUCACCUGUUUAUCAAAAACAUGGCUUAUAGAUUAUAAUUUUAAGUCAAUCUGCCCAAUGAAAAAAUUUAAUGGCUGCAGUAUAACUAACUGUACAAAGGUAGCAUAAUCAAUUGUCUUUUAAUUAAAGGCUGGAAUGAAAGAAUUAAUGAAAUAUAUUCUGUCUCUAAUAUAAUUAUUGAAAUUAAAUUUUAAGUUAAAAUUCUUAAAUAUAAUUAUGGGACGAUAAGACCCUAUAAAAUUUUAUAUUAUAUUUAUAUAUUAAAUUAUAUUAAAUUAUUAUAUAAAUUAUAAUAUUUUAUUGGGGGGAUAAUUAAAUUUAAUAAACUUUAAUAAAAUUAAUCUAUUAUUUUAGAAUAUAAAAUGAAUUAAUAUUAUUAAUUUUUAGAAUAAAUUACUUUAGGGAUAACAGCGUAAUAUCUUUUUAUAGAUCAUAUUAAAAAAGAUGAUUGCGACCUCGAUGUUGAAUUAAGAUAUAAUUUAAAUGCAGAAGUUUAAAAUUUAAGUCUGUUCGACUUUUAAAAUCUUACAUGAUUUGAGUUCAGAUCGACGUAAGUCAGAUCGGUUUCUAUCUAUAAUUUUAUAAUUAUUUUUUGUACGAAAGGACUAAAAUAAUAAAAUACUUUUAAUAAAUUUAAUAAAUAUAUAUUAUAUAUAUAUAUAUAUAUAAUUAUUUUAGCAAAUUAGUGCAUU